rnacentral:sRNA from 1 species
CUGCUGUUGAGUGAGAUUGAAAGGAAACACAUUGAAUGAGGAAAAAACUAACAUACAGUCAUCAAUAUCCUUGUAUAACCUAGUUUUUGAAAAAUUGGAUUUCAAAGCUGGAGAACAAAAGACAUAUAAACCUUAGAUAUCAAGCAUAAUAGAGGUGUCAGUAUAUUUGAAGGAUUGAAGGAAUAAAUGUAAGCACUUGAAGAACUAAAUGUGUUUAACCAAAAUCAAACAGUGGAGACAAGAAAACAAAAUUAUCUUCCCUUCCAAAUCCAAAAAGAUGAAAACGACUGAGAUACUUUCAAAAGACAACCAAGUG